GACAGCAGUCGCCACGGUAAAACCAGCACCUCGAGUGGUCAGGAGGUUUAUUGGGCCUAAAGCAUCCGUAGCCGGUUGCAUAAGUUUUCGGUUAAAUCUAUGCGCUUAACGUAUAGGCCGCCGAAAAUACUGUGCAGCUAGGGAGUGGGAGAGGUACACGGUACUCGAUAGGAAGGGGUAAAAUCCUUUGAUCUAUUGAUGACCACCUGUGGCGAAGGCGGUGUACCAGAACACGUUCGACGGUGAGGGAUGAAAGCUGGGGGAGCAAACCGGAUUUGAUACCCCGGUAGUCCCUGUCUCUUAUAA
rnacentral:rRNA from 1 species